UACGUAGGGUGCGAGCGUUGUCCGGAAUUAUUGGGCGUAAAGAGCUCGUAGGCGGUGUGUCGCGUCGGCCGUGAAAACCUGGGGCUUAACUCUGGGCGUGCGGUCGAUACGGGCAUCACUGGAGUUCGGCAGGGGAGACUGGAAUUCCUGGUGUAGCGGUGAAAUGCGCAGAUAUCAGGAGGAACACCGGUGGCGAAGGCGGGGUCUCUGGGCCGAGUACCGACGCUGAGGAGCGAAAGCAUGGGUAGCGAACAGG
rnacentral:rRNA from 1 species